UCAACACUCGCAAGAAAAUAAGAUCAAGUGUAAUAUCUGUUCUUAUCAGUUUAAUAUCUGAUAUGUCCUGUAUCAGAGGACAAUAUAUUAAAUGGACUUUUGAAGCUAGGAGAUGGAACAGGAGCUUGCUGCAUCCACUCCACGCAUCAGCCUGGUAUUGCAGUACUUCCAGGACUGAUGACCCCUCC
rnacentral:snRNA from 1 species